rnacentral:rRNA from 1 species
AUUGCACGCUGGCGGCAGGCCUCACACAUGCAAGUCGAACGAGUGGCGGACGGGUGAGUAAUGUCUGGGAAACUGCCUGAUGGAGGGGGAUAACUACUGGAAACGGUAGCUAAUACCGCAUACCAUCAGAUGUGCCCAGAUGGGAUUUGCUAGUUGGGGGGGUAACGGCUCACCAAGGCGAAGAUCCCUAGCUGUGCUGAGAGGAUGACCAGCCACACUGGAACCUAGACACGGUCCAGACUCCUACGGGAUGCAGCAGUGGGGAAUAUUGCACAAUGGGCUCAAGCCUGAUGCAGCCAUGCCGCGUGUAUGAAGAAGGCCUUCGGGUUGGAAAGUACUUUCAGCGGGGAGGCGUUACCCGCAGAAGAAGCACCGGCUAACUCCGUGCCAGCAGCCGCGGUAAUAC